UACGGAGGAUGCGAGCGUUAUCCGGAUUUAUUGGGUUUAAAGGGUGCGUAGGCGGGCUUUUAAGUCAGCGAUAAAAAUUCGGGGCUCAACCCCGUCCGGCCGUUGAAACUGGGGGCCUUGAGUGGGCGAGAAGAAGGCGGAAUGCGUGGUGUAGCGGUGAAAUGCAUAGAUAUCACGCAGAACCCCGAUUGCGAAGGCAGCCUUCCGGCGCCCUACUGACGCUGAGGCACGAAAGUGCGGGGAUCGAACAGG
rnacentral:rRNA from 1 species